rnacentral:rRNA from 1 species
AAUGAACGUUGGCGGCGUGGAUUAGGCAUGCAAGUCGUGCGGAAAGGCCCCGCAAGGGGUACUCGAGCGGCGAAAGGGAUAGUAACACGUAGGUACCCACCUCUGGGACGGGGAUAGCCGGGGGAAACUCCGAUUAAUACCCGAUAACAUCUUCGGGUCAAAGGUGUAAUUCCGCCUGGAGACGGGCCUGCGUCCUAUCAGCUAGUUGGUGAGGUAACGGCUCACCAAGGCUAGGACGGGUAGCGGGUGUGAGCGCACGACCCGCAUCACUGGGACUGAGACACUGCCCAGACACCUACGGGUGGCUGCAGUCGAGAAUCUUCGUGAAUGGGCGAAAGCCUGAACGAGCGACGCCGCGUGCGGGAUGAAGGCCUUCGGGUUGUAAACCGCUGUCAGUGGGAAUGAAAUGCCAGGGGGCUCACCUCCUGGUUUGACAGACCCGCAGAGGAAGGACGGGCUAAGUUCGUGCCAGCAGCCGCAGUAAGAC